rnacentral:lncRNA from 1 species
AAUCUCCUAACACCUGGGGAGCAAGGCACAGGCCAUGGAUGAAGAUUUUCCCGGGUGGGGACACAAACAGGCUGAGCCUCUCCUGUUCUCCCUGGUCUAUCAACCUCACAGGCAGGUAACUGGCUCCACAGCACAAACAGCUUUCAGCAGGGGGAGGUAAAGAGAUAAGGGCGUCUUUCUCAAUUUCUCUGUUUCAGUUUCUCUGUGGUACACAGUUUAGGACAACUGUGCCUGCUUAGCGGCUUGGUGCGCUGGGGCAAGACCUUCUGCAGCCAGCUGGCUCUGCAUUUUAAAAGUCUCCCAGGCACUUAAAUCAGCCAAUCCUGGUUUGGCAACCACCACCCACCCUCCAAAAAUCACAAGCACGCUGGGGUUGGGGUGGGGAACAGUAUAAAUGUGUCAUUCCUAAAAACAGAAAGUAAAUGUUCCCACAGAAGAGGAAAUGGAGAGUCUGUCAGCAGCCAGGAAAAGGAAACCUAAGGCAGAUCAUGGCUGAGCAGAUGUAGAAGAGCCUAGACAAUUCAGUCACUGCAGGGUGAGGGCUGCUGGAUCACUGGGGAAGGUACUGGUCUGGCUUCUGAGUACUUGGGACAGGGCUCCCUGAGGAUGACCUCGUGCUGGUCCUGAUUGGACCUGGAUUUCCAGAGGACUGGAGUUCAUCUGCAUCCUGUCGGCCACAGUCAGGGAGUGGCUAAAAACACACAGACAAGCCCAGACACCACUGAGCUGCCUCCCUUCUAGCUGUGCUGGCCCUGGUCACCCUGACACCUUAAAACUGCCUGCAUUGAGCAAAGGGAAUUUCCCCUGCUGGCUCAGAAAUCUUGCAGAAACCUGGAGGCCCGGCUAAAGAGGACCUUGUGGCCAUUUACUGACAGAAAUCUGCCCCACCCAGAAGCAGCUGAUCUUGUUCUGAGACCAUAGCAGCGAGGAGCCUUUGAUCUCCAUCCUGGAUGAAUGUUAAUUCCAGAUAGAAGCCAUCCUUAGAUGGGAUGGGUGGUGGGUGUGUGGACGGCAGAUACAGAAAGGGGAUGACAGGAAGACCAACAGCAAUCCAGGCAGCAAAGCCUUGUAGUUGUCUGUAUGAGUCAGGACUACACAUAACGGGGCAAUCACACUCCGGGAUGCGUCCAGACCUGGAGACAUGUGGAACCCUCUGGUCAGGUUAUGGCUAUCCCUGCUCACCAAGUCUGGCAACUCAACAUCCAGCAGUGCCCUUGCACUAGUUAAGAAAAAGCAACUGAAUUUGCAAAAGGGAGCUGCAAUGUUGGCUGAAUGUAAGCAGCAGCAGAAUCAAUCCCAUCACUGCCAAGACACAGUUGCUGAUGCAGGAUUCUGAACUUCAGAGGAAACAAAGUAAUUCUCCCUGUGGAGACAUUGAACCUGAGAUCAAAGAAGCUUUGAGGAGAGAAAGAGGCUGAGAGCAGAACUGCACCAGGCCAUUCAGAAAGGGUAUCUUGAAGAGAACUCCUGGAGUUUGGUUGUAAAGCAAGGCCUGGAACCAGAAAUAACCUGAGAACUUGCUGGUGUUGCAGUCUUCCAAGAGCUGCAAGAAAUAUCCGGGUACCCAGAGGUGGUAGUGAAACUACAGCACCUCGAACACAUGCACCCUGAUUGUAAUUGAUAGCUAUAAGCAUGGAAGAUUUGUCAUUCUUUAUAAAUAUGUUGUUUCAUUC